rnacentral:rRNA from 1 species
CCUACGGGGGGCAGCAGUGAGGAAUAUUGGUCAAUGGGCGAGAGUCUGAACCAGCCAAGUAGCGUGAAGGAUGACUGCCCUAUGGGUUGUAAACUUCUUUUAUACGGGAAUAAAGUGGAGUAUGCAUACUCCUUUGUAUGUACCGUAUGAAUAAGGAUCGGCUAACUCCGUGCCAGCAGCCGCGGUAAUACGGAGGAUGCGAGCGUUAUCCGGAUUUAUUGGGUUUAAAGGGUGCGUAGGUGGUGAUUUAAGUCAGCGGUGAAAGUUUGUGGCUCAACCAUAAAAUUGCAGUUGAUACUGGGCGCCUUGAGUGCAGCAUAGGUAGGCGGAAUUCGUGGUGUAGCGGUGAAAUGCUUAGAUAUCACGAAGAACUCCGAUUGCGAAGGCGGCUUUCUGGACGAUGACUGACGUUGAGGCUCGAAAG